AUGGAUAUGGAGCGCACUGACGUGCUGGUCGACAUCCUCCGCCACCUCCCGCCGCGCAGCCUCGCCGCAUCCCGCUGCGUCUGCACGUCCUGGCGGGCCACCGUCGACCACCACCGUCUGCUGCGCGCGGACCUGCUCCCGCUCUCCGUGGACGCGGUGAUCUGGGACAAUGAUACCAUAGACGCCCCGAUGCUCUUCGCCCGCCGCUCAACGGCGCGCUACAUCACCAGUAGGCUCGAUUACCUCGAAGAGGAUCCCGACUAUGGAAUGUACGCGGGGGAGAUGAGGGAUUACUGCAAUGGCCUCCUCUUGAUUCAGAACGACACGGUGGUCAAUCCCGCCACGCGGCAGUGGGCGCCAUUGCCCUGGCUGCCGUGCGCGUGCUCGCCCGAUGGGGAUUGCGGGCGCUGCCACAACAAUCGCUACCUCGCAUAUGACCCUACCAUCUCGCCACAUUACGAGGUAUUCUUCAUUCCUCGUAUUCCCUGUGAUGUACCCGAUGACAUGGCCUGCACUAUGGAGUGGCCACCUUCGCCGUAUACCAUGUAUGUUUUCUCGUCCAAGACAGAGUGUUGGGAAGAGAGGUCAUUCAUGCGAGAAGGGGAUGCUGCCGGAACAAUUGACGAUGUGAAAUCACAUCGGAAAUCUGAUCAGAAUUUGUACUACGCAGCUUACUGGCAGGGGUCACUUUACGUUCCUUUUAGGCAAAUACACGGUGGUUUUCUUCUGAGAAUAAACUUGUCGAGUGAUAAGUACCAAGUAAUUGAGUUGCCAAAAGGAGGCAUCAGAUCACUAUCUCGUCUAGGAAAAUCGGAAAAAGGGGUCUACUGUGUAUUGAAGAAUGGAAGAUGCACAUUUCAGGUUUGGUUUCUGUAUGAAUCGGGUGGUCUGAUAGACUGGGUUUUGAAGAAUGAAAUAAACCUGGAGCCAGCAUGGAGAGAAUAUUUUGAGAAACAUAUUGACGAAGGUCCAUGGAUCUCACAGUCGGAUGAUCAGAAAGAGUUGUUGUUGAAGAAUGAUGUCAACCUUAAACUUGUAGCUGAAUACAACGAAGCAGUAGAGAAAGAUGAUUUUGAGUGGGACUCUGAUGAUGAAAAUGUUCUCAGCACUGCAGGCUGGCCUAAGAAGUACAACCCUGACAAUGAAGCCUAUGAAACCCCUCUUCAACUUGAAUGUCUUGGAUUUCACCCUUACAAGGAAAUUGUUUUGUUUCAUGACCACAAUAGUGCAACGGUUGCAUAUCAUUUGAAUAGCUCGAAGGUUCGAUACUUGGGUGAGAUGGAGCACUACUAUUCCUUCAUUGAGAUCUCUUUUCCUUACGCCCCAUGCUGGACUAUGGACUUACCUGGAAGUAAGUAA
rnacentral:rRNA from 1 species